CAGGGAUUGCCUCAGUAACGGCGAGUGAAGCGGCAACAGCUCAAAUUUGAAAUCUGACCCCUUUGGGGCCCGAGUUGUAAUUUGUAGAGGGUGCUUUGGCGUUGGUUCCGGCCUAAGUUCCUUGGAACAGGACGUCACAGAGGGUGAGAAUCCCGUACGUGGCCGGCUUCCUUCGCCGUGUAAAGCCCCUUCGACGAGUCGAGUUGUUUGGGAAUGCAGCUCUAAAUGGGAGGUAAAUUUCUUCUAAAGCUAAAUAUUGGCCAGAGACCGAUAGCGCACAAGUAGAGUGAUCGAAAGAUGAAAAGCACUUUGGAAAGAGAGUCAAAAAGCACGUGAAAUUGUUGAAAGGGAAGCGCUUGCAGCCAGACUUGCCUGUAGUUGCUCAUCCGGGCUCUUGCCCGGUGCACUCUUCUACUGGCAGGCCAGCAUCAGUUUGGGCGGCCGGAUAAAGGCCUCGGGAAUGUAGCUCCCUCCGGGGAGUGUUAUAGCCCGGGGUGUCAUGCGGCCAGCCUGGACUGAGGUCCGCGCAUCUGCUAGGAUGCUGGCGUAAUGGCUGUAAGCGGCCCGUCUUGAAACACGGACCAAGGAGUCUAACAUCUAUGCGAGUGUUUGGGUGUCAAGCCCGGGCGCGUAAUGAAAGUGAACGGAGGUGGGAACCCUUCCGGGGUGCACCAUCGACCGAUCCUGAUGUCUUCGGAUGGAUUUGAGUAAGAGCAUAGCUGUUGGGACCCGAAAGAUGGUGAACUAUGCCUGAAUAGGGUGAAGCCAGAGGAAACUCUGGUGGAGGCUCGCAGCGGUUCUGACGUGCAAAUCGAUCGUCAAAUUUGGGCAUAGGGGCGAAAGACUAAUCGAACUAUCUAGUAGCUGG
rnacentral:rRNA from 1 species